UGAGGAAUAUUGGUCAAUGGGAGGAAUCCUGAACCAGCCAUGCCGCGUGCAGGACGACGGCUCUACGAGUUGUAAACUGCUUUUGUACCGGGGGUAAAAUGCUCUACGUGUAGAGUUUUGAAAGUACGGUACGAAUAAGGAUCGGCUAACUCCGUGCCAGCAGCCGCGGUAAUACGGAGGAUCCGAGCGUUAUCCGGAUUCAUUGGGUUUAAAGGGUGCGUAGGUUGUUUUAUAAGUAGCGGUGAAAUACCGAUGCUCAACAUCGGGGCUGCCGCUAAUACUGUAGGACUAGAGAUCGGAUGCAGCAGGCGGAAUGUGUAGUGUAGCGGUGAAAUGCAUAGAUAUACACAGAACACCGAUUGCGAAGGCAGCUUGCUAGGCCGGAUCUGACACUGAUGCACGAAAGCGUGGGGAUCGAACAGGAUUAGAUACCC
rnacentral:rRNA from 1 species